CGGUUCUGUAGACUGGACUUGUAUGAGCCGUCCUUAGCACAUGCAGUGCUGGGAGCUGGUAGACGGCAGACUUUGACAGAAAGCUUAUUGGGACCAGGAAUGAAUUGCUGGAAAUGCAUUCUGAGCAGGAUCGUCACGUGACACAGACUAACAUGAAAAUUGACACAGAAGUGGCUGGCCGGAAGACUAUGCUGGAG